AGCGAACGCUGGCGGCAGGCCUAACACAUGCAAGUCGAACGAAGUCUUCGGACUUAGUGGCGGACGGGUGAGUAACACGUGGGAACGUGCCUGUGGGUUCGGAAUAACUCAGGGAAACUUGUGCUAAUACCGAAUGUGCCCUUCGGGGGAAAGAUUUAUCGCCUUUAGGGCGGCCCGCGUCUGAUUAGCUAGUUGGUGAGGUAAAGGCUCACCAAGGCUACGAUCAGUAGCUGGUCUGAGAGGAUGACCAGCCACAUUGGGACUGAGACACGGCCCAAACUCCUACGGGAGGCAGCAGUGGGGAAUCUUGCGCAAUGGGCGAAAGCCUGACGCAGCCAUGCCGCGUGGAUGAUGAAGGUCUUAGGAUUGUAAAAUCCUUUCACCGGUGAAGAUAAUGACUGUAGCCGGAGAAGAAGCCCCGGCUAACUUCGUGCCAGCCGCCGCCGUAAGAC
rnacentral:rRNA from 1 species